CGCUGGGCGGCGUGCUAACACAUGCAAUUCGAGCGGACCGCAGCAAUGCGGUCAGCGGCGGACGGGUGAUUAUCACGUGAGCAAUCUGCCCCCGACAUCGGGAUACCGACCGGAAACGGUCGCUAAUACCGGAUAAGACCACGUAUCCGCAUGGGUACGGGGUAAAAGGGAUUACCGGUUGGGGAUGAGCUCGCGUCCCAUUAGCUAGUUGGCGGUGUAACGGACCACCAAGGCGACGAUGGGUAGCCGACCUGAGAGGGUGAUCGGCCACACUGGAACUGAGAGACGGUCCAGACUCCUACGGGAGGCAGCAGUGGGGAAUAUUGGGCAAUGGGCGAAAGCCUGACCCAUCAACGCCGCGUGAAGGAAGAAGGUCUUCGGAUUGUAAACUUCUGUUGUGGAGGAAGAAGAAUGACAGUACUCCAUGAGGAACCCCGGCAAACUA
rnacentral:rRNA from 1 species